AGCAGCCGCGGUAAUUCCAGCUCCAAUAGCGUAUAUUAAAGUUGUUGCAGUUAAAAAGCUCGUAGUUGAAUUUCGAGAUCAGUACGCUGGUCGUGCCUUCGGUAUGCACUGGUGUCACUGGUUUCUCCCUUCUGAAGAACCGUCAUGUCAUUAAGUUGGUGUGGCGGGGAAUCAGGACUGUUACUUUGAAAAAAAUUAGAGUGUUUAAAGCAGGCUCGCGCUUGAAUACAUUAGCAUGGAGUAAUGAAAUAGGACGUUUGACCCUAUUUUGUUGGUUUCUAGGAUCGACGUAAUGAUUAAUAGGGAUAGUUGGGGGCAUUAGUAUUCAAUUGUCAGGGGUGAAAUUCUUGGAUUUAUUGAAGACUAACUACUGCGAAAGCAUUUGCCAAGGAUGUUUUCUAUUAAUCAAGAACGAAAGUUAGGGGAUCGAAGACGAUCAGAUACCGUCGUAGUCUUAACCAUAAACUAUGCCGACUAGGGAUCGGAUGAUGUUAAUUUUUUAAUGACUCAUUCGGC
rnacentral:rRNA from 1 species